ensembl:lncRNA
AAAAACUUUACGCUUCGAACACACCGACUGUGUUAUUGCAUCGCUGCUGCAUAACAUUUUGCGCAGGAAGGCAACUAUACUGAUGCAGGUACCUUUUGCAGACGGUCGAAUGCGGUUGGACACAUGGAGAGAAUCAUUUUCGCAGUAUCCUCAAAACUGUGUAUUUUUGACACAGCUGCUGACAGCUACAAACACAAAAAAUGCUGCUUGGAGACAAGUGUCCACGAUAGUAGGCUUGCCAGGGAAACGAGUGGCAAUUUUACAGCCAGACCCUUUACUUCAUCCACAAGUGUGGGUGCCACCGGUGCAUCAAGACCCUUUGUCAUUUACAAGUGAGUCCACCGGUGCAGCGAGACCCUCUGUCAUCUACUAGUGCGACCAUCACCAGUGCAGCGAGACCCUCUACAACAUCCACAAGUAUGACCACCACCAGUGCAGCCAUGGAAGAUAAUGGAGCAAGCACCUCUGGAUCUAGGAACACCUGAGAUUAUUAUGACCACGAGGACCUUGAACAGGAUGUGGCCGUGGAGACAAACAUGGAGAAAUGAAGAGGAACAAUGUCACAACAGGCGCUAUCGUAGGUACUAGCUUCCAGAUCCACUCAACUCAUUUCAGCAUAGGCUACUCCAAGCCGUCGAGAGGGAGGCAGCCCAACCUGAUCCCCACAUUGAGGAUGAAGAGACACUCUUUGCCUGUUGCCAACCCUGAAGAGGCUGCCUCAAAGAAAAGCAGCAGUUAAGAUAAAAAUUCUUCAGCUGCUUUUUGAUGACAAGUUCAAUGGUACGUUUUUUUUCUCUUCACUACACAGGUCGUGUCAUAAGUUUUGCAACAGUGAAG